rnacentral:rRNA from 1 species
GAUGAACGCUGGCGGCGUGCCUAAUACAUGCAAGUCGAGCGAACAGAUAAGGAGCUUGCUCCUUUGACGUUGGCGGCGGACGGGUGAGUAACACGUGGGUAACCUACCUAUAAGACUGGAAUAACUCCGGGAAACCGGGGCUAAUGCCGGAUAACAUUUAGAACCGCAUGGUUCUAAAGUGAAAGAUGGUUUUGCUAUCACUUAUAGAUGGACCCGCGCCGUAUUAGCUAGUUGGUAAGGUAACGGCUUACCAAGGCAACGAUACGUAGCCGACCCGAGAGGGUGAUCGGCCACACUGGAACUGAGACACGGUCCAGACUCCUACGGGAGGCAGCAGUAGGGAAUCUUCCGCAAUGGGCGAAAGCCUGACGGAGCAACGCCGCGUGAGUGAUGAAGGUCUUCGGAUCGUAAAACUCUGUUAUUAGGGAAGAACAAAUGUGUAAGUAACUGUGCACGUCUUGACGGUACCUAAUCAGAAAGCCACGGCUAACUACGUG